UGCAGCAGUUAAGUGAACAAAUGAAGUGUCCACAGUCAUUGGAUGGUUGCUUGGUAGAGGUACAUGCUAAUAACUAAUAAGAUUUCCUGUGCAGGGUAUCAUUGUUUUUGCAUGACUGAUGGCUACCUUGGGGCUGGAGAUUUUGGUUGAAUCUGCCUCAAGUGUUAUUUUGAAGAUGAUAUUAUCAUUUGACCUUGCUUUUGCUUUGAUUCCGCUCCUAAAGUUCAGUAGCAGCAAAGUGACUAGCAGCACAAGCAUUGAAGAGAGAUUGCAGGGAUUCCAAGGGAAGGGGACCAGGGGAUGAAAAAUAUGAUUAAAGAGAGUUCUUGAGGAGUUUGUCACAUGCUCAGG